UAAUUCAGCACCAAGUAGUUGUGGUUCUGUUGACAAAAACUAAUGGGAAAACACUAAUAAUAUAAUAUAAUAUAAUAUAAUAUAAUAUAAUAUAAUAUAAUAUAAUAUNAUAAUAUAUAAAUAUUUCAAUUUAAUUUAUAAUCUUAUAAUACAACUAAAAUAAUUGUAUAAAUAAUGUCUAAAAUUAUUUGAAUCCUUAUGAGACAAGCAAACACAUUAACAACCUGAGAUGUCUUUCUUUGCUCUUUCUGUUUUCAAAAUUGCACUAAACAGGAAGACAGACAGGAAGUGGUAGCCUAAAGCAUUUUAUCUAUGUGAUCAAGACUUAGCCGUGUUAGUCAUGAAGGAGAAACGCUAAAGAAAAUUCUGUAUGUUACAUACGUAGGAUUAUUUUAAACUAAAAGUGGAAUUGGAAAAGUGAGAUUGUGACAGAUUUCCAAUGUGGGGUCAGCAAGUUCAGAGGUUACGUGACUUUACAGAGGAGCUUCUGUCACACCGUCUUUUACCAUGACAAGAUCAGGUGCCUUAAAACUUUGCAUCCUCUUCUUUCUCACCUUCAUCCUGUGUCUACCAGAGUUUUUUCCAAAAAUAUCACAAAUUGAGUUUCUCUGUGAGCCCUUUGACCCUUGCACACCUGAGAAUGAUACACAGGUGUGUGCUCCAUAUGACCCUCCAUGUGUGACAGAAAUGAUAAAUGCCAGCAGCCAACACACACGUUCUGAAGGCUGGUAUCUGUGUAAAACUGAAAUGGAUCUGCAGCUUCUCCAGAACAAUACCUCACCGUCAGAAGAGCAUGUGAUGGUGCUACUGACAAUGAAGGCAGGCAAUCACUCUGGAUGGAACAUUAGUGAAUUUAUGUUUCUCAACAACACUGAUCUAUACACUGCUGGACCCCAAAAUGACCAGAGACUGUUUUAUUGCAACCUCCCACCAGACAACAGCAAAUGUCCAGAUCUGAACAUAUCCAUGCAAGAAAAAAACACCAGCCCUCCAAUACAAGACCCCUCCAUUUUAAAAACCAAUACUUCUGUAAACCCAACUGCCUUUUCACUCAAAACAACUACACUGUCUUUCCAAGAAACACCUUCUACAGAUGAGCUGAAGUGUCAACCAACCAGCAGCAGUUUCCUCUUUUACUACCAGAUGAACAAUGAAACAGCAAGAUCUGCCGCAUUACCAGUGACCCAAACAAGAAAAGAUGGCUGGUGGUGUGUGAUUACUUCGGUGUGGUUGGCUCUGGUACUGACUGUGAUUGUGGUAACCCUAUUGAGUGUGGGCAACAUGAUCUUUAAGAGCAGAAAACGAAAGUCCGGUUUGGUUGCAUCUGUGCCGGUUUCAGCCCGUGGACGUCAGCUCAAAGAGCUCAGUAAACAAAAAGAAAAUUUAAUGAGUGCUGUCCCUGCUGUGUCCAUAGCAAUGUGCUGCUUAAGUGAUGGGGAUGUAUUCUAUGAGAAACCGUCAAUGGGGAACAGAACAGAAGAAAACCUUCUGAAGGUAGCUGACCUUACAUACAAGAGAAGUUUGUCACCAGUCUAUGAGAUCAUAGGUAUGAAUGGGGCACACAACACAUUUAUAUAUUCUUUCAAUAAAAAACACAAUAGGGCCUACUUUCAGAUGACUAGCAUUGAAUAAACAUAUUCCAAUAGACACAAAUGACCAAUCAUAAUCAUAUUUCACACAUCUCAUUUUGCUGUAAAUGAUGUUACAUACAGGUUAACUUUAAUUUUAAAGAGAGAAAUGGAUUGUGUAAUGUGGCACUUGGAAUUUUUUUUUUUUUUUUUUUUUUUUUUCCUUCCUCUCCCCCCUCACCCCCCUCCCUCUCUCCCCACAUC
ensembl:lncRNA